rnacentral:lncRNA from 1 species
CGAGUCUCCAAGAGCCUUGUGAGAAGAGCAGGAGCAGAAAGGAAAAUGAACUCCAGGAGUGGAUGCCUCCCAGAUGACUAACUGCAAAUGCUUCCUGAGGAAGAAGCAGGGAGAGACAGGAGAGACGAUGGCACCAGGACGAAGGGGAAAUCGAUGUUAUUCCGCUGAUCUCCAAAGCUUGCCUCAUCCAAGGGCUAAUCUUCCGGUAUGGAGGACGGUGGAACUCAGGAGGCCGUGAGUGAAGCAGAGAUCUGGACUAGAACCUUGGUUCUGUCCUAAUGCUGCCACAGCUGUCUUCUUUCUGAGUCCUUCUGCGGGGCCUUGCAUACAGUCUACAGGAGACCUUACUUUCUGUCAAUGUCACAGGCCGGGACUCUCAUUUUGAGGCCCAGCAAGGAAAACAGAUUUUCAGAACAUGGCUGAAAGCUUUCAUGGAGUGAUGUCACCUGCUGGAAAGUGCCUUGAUCUUGACACCAGAUUCCUGACUUAAUUGAAGAAAAAUCACUUAACCUCUCUGAACCUGAACCUACUUUGUGACAUGGAACUCAUGAUAAUCUAUGCUUUUGGUCUCAACGGUGGUUGAGAGAUUCACAGGAAGCAAUGGAUGUGAAAGUUCUGUGUAAGCCCCAGCACAUGGCUACAGGUAUAAGAGCCUGGACUCUUAGUCUCUUCUAAAACAGACUUAAUGGAAAAGGAUCUGAUAAAUUCAGGCAUACUGAACUUAGUCCUGCGAUGUCUCAGAGUGUCAAAGCUCUUGCCAUGCAAACCCGACAACCUGAGUUUGAGCCCCAGAACCCAUGGCGGAAGGAGAGAACCAGUUCCCGAAAGUUAUCCUCUGAUUUCUGCAUGCUCUGGUGAUACCUCACCACUAACGCGCGCGCGCAAGCACACACACACACACACACACACGGACACAUUGGCAUGGAAGGAGUCUCUGUUGCCACCACAGGCCACUGUUUACCUGUUCCGUACACACACCUUUAGCAAAAGAGGCAGCUGCCACCAGGCCCAACCCUCAUCUUUGGAAGGAGGACCAGGGCCUGGAGAGGAAGAGCUGUGAGCCAGGGUGGUGGCUGCAGAGAAUGGGAGGGGUUACUGGCUCAAACUUCCUGUAAGCCGCCAGCGGAAACACCACUACAUUUGCCAACUCCUUCAAUUAAACAUAUUUAU